AUCUGAGGAUAGCACAGCAUCCAUUGACAUGCAGAUGUGUAAAAUUCCCCUAGGGUUGUUUGCCCUCUCUUGGAUUCUAUUGAGAAGCAGUUCCCUCUCAUCCUUCUUCCCAAUAGCAUCCUUCUGCUUACAUGCUCAUCCUUCUGCUUGUGUAACCUAUGCCAUUUUAGUAUUUGUGUUUUGUUUGGAUUUUAGGGCCCAGGGGACAAGAGCUCAGUGAGCAUGUGCAGUGGGCAGGAAAAGCCAAUUGCACUGCUAUAGAUACUGGAAUACCUGUCUGGAUGCACCUUUAUGGUUGGAGGGACUGCAGAACAGACAAAACUAAGAAGAUAUACAAAGGAUAUCAAGGUCAUUUUUGUGGUUUGAAGAAGGCCAUGAAUCUCAGCAGCCAAAAACCACGUCCAGCACCUAAAUCACAUUGACUCUGCACCUGUCAUCUAUUACAAGAUUGUAUUUAAUUGUAUCAUAGAAAGAAACAACUUCUGCUAUCUUAGCCAUAAAGCACAACAUUUAAAGAAAAAAAAGUACGUAUGGUCAAAACUAGAUACAUGCUGAAAAUAAACUAUGGAUGUUUUAC